rnacentral:rRNA from 1 species
UACGGGGGGGGCAAGCGUUAUUCGGAAUUACUGGGCUUAAAGGGUGCGUAGGCGGCGCAGUAAGUUGGGUGUGAAAUCCCUCGGCUUAACCGAGGAAUUGCGCCCAAAACUACUGUGCUCGAGGGAGGUAGAGGUGAGCGGAACUUAGGGUGGAGCGGUGAAAUGCGUUGAUAUCCUAAGGAACACCGGUGGCGAAAGCGGCUCACUGGACCUCUUCUGACGCUGAGGCACGAAAGCUAGGGUAGCAAACGGG